AUGAACGCUGGCGGCGUGCCUAAUGCAUGCAAGUCGAGCGAACGGACGAGAAGCUUGCUUCUCUGAUGUUAGCGGCGGACGGGUGAGUAACACGUGGAUAACCUACCUAUAAGACUGGGAUAACUUCGGGAAACCGUAGCUAAUACCGGAUAAUAUUUUGAACCGCAUGGUUCAAAAGUGAAAGACGGUCUUGCUGUCACUUAUAGAUGGAUCCGCGCUGCAUUAGCUAGUUGGUAAGGUAACGGCUUACCAAGGCAACGAUGCAUAGCCGACCUGAGAGGGUGAUCGGCCACACUGGAACUGAGACACGGUCCAGACUCCUACGGGAGGCAGCAGUAGGGAAUCUUCCGCAAUGGGCGAAAGCCUGACGGAGCAACGCCGCGUGAGUGAUGAAGGUCUUCGGAUCGUAAAACUCUGUUAUUAGGGAAGAACAUAUGUGUAAGUAACUGUGCACAUCUUGACGGUACCUAAUCAGAAAGCCACGGCUAACUACGUG
rnacentral:rRNA from 1 species